UGCAAGUGAGGCAUCAGAAUUUCAGAAAGAACAACACCGUCCCCUCUCGUCUCAAGAACAACACUCUCAUUCUCCUCUGUCUUUCUUCUCCUUCACAGCCAGCCACCAGCCACCGUCCACCGCGAAACUCGACGGCGACGAACGCAACGCAGCCACCAAAGCACGACGGCGUCCAGUCGACGGCGAUUCCGACGAAGGGCGACCACCACGAACAGUUGAAGUUGUUGCCGUGAUUGAUUGGCGUUGGCUGCUGCUGUAACUGCUGUUGAUAGCUGCUGCCGUAAUCGGCUUCUUUGGAGGUUGAACAAACAGCUGUCAGAAAACAAUCUGCGGCUGAUGUGUAGUUUUUAGUUAACUAUGUUACAAUUUGAUUCUUUCUGAACCAGUGUAUUCUGAGAGGAGCACAAGGACCUGCUCCGUACUAAGGAGGAAGUGUGAGAAUAAGAUGAAAUAAGUUACUGCAGAAGAUGGCGCCGAGGCAAAUGGAAGAGAUUUGGAAGAAAUUGGCAGACCUAAAUUAUCCUAGAGCGAAUGCUCCUGCACAGUCGCUCCUAUUUGCUGGCAUGGAGCGUUAUGCCCUUCUGGAGUGGCUCUUCUUUCGGGAUCCUAUUUUUUGUUUUGCUUCUGUGAGUCCAUUUAUCUGUUAUGUAUUUGAGGAAGUUUUUCUGCCCGAAAACAAGUUGGUAGAAACUGGAGUUGCUGGGUCUUAGACUGAGUACUUGUCAUUUAUACAACCAUCAUUAUGACUUUACAUGGGUUUACUUAUGCUAUAUUGGAACCCCGUUGCAUAUUGACACAAAAGUUAGGCGUAGUAGCGUGUCCCGUAUGCGUAGUUUUAAAUGAUUAGUUGUGGGUUCUAAUAUGCAUUUACUGUGCUUGUGGACUUAGUGCACAUUCUUAAAUAAGUUUUGGGAAAUUUUAGGCUGGCUGUCUAAAUCCAUUCAGAGGUGCAAAUAGUUUCCCACUCCCCGUUUUUUUUCCAGGCUCUACAUGUAUUGCUUGAAAGGGUUCUGAUUAGCUAAUAGCUACGCAUUCACACCAUCUACCUAGCACAAAUGAAGUUAAAAAAACAAAACCUUUACCUUUCUGUAUGUCCAAUACUACUAUUUCUAUUUUCUGCCCUCUUCCUGCAAUACUUAACCCUAGCGAUUCCAACAUUGUCUGGUUUUUGCCUACGUGCAGCACUGCUAAGUACAUUUUAAGUAUUCCUGUCAAUGUUAAGAAGAAAUGUUUUGGUACUUAUGCUUACAACAGGCUUUUAGGUGAUAAGUCACCCUUUUCUCAACAAAACUUACAAGGGGAUAGUCUUGAUGGUGAUGAAGAGACAAGUCGAAUUCAGUAUUUAGCAGAGAUUGCCAAGUUUUUGGGUAUUACGACAACUGUAGAUACAGAAGCCAUUCAGUAAUAUUCAUACAUCAAUGAGGAUCGAACUCAAGACAUUGUUGCAAGACUAUGAUACCAUUAUUACGAAAAGGUUAACACAAAAUUCUCUAACAAACAUCCCUCCUGUAGAAAUUGGCACAAACAUCCUUCUUGUAGAGAUUGCCACCUGACAACAUGGUGAAUUUGGAACUCGUGACAUUGGAAUCGUUGCAAGGCUAUGAUACUAUUGCUACGUAAAGUUAGCCCGUUCAUUAUGGACACAAAAUUCCUUAACAAUUCAACCUCCUUAAGGCUCACCCGAGUAAAGUUUCCCAAUUUAUGAAACGUGUUUUUGGGCAACCUACGGAAUCUUCGAGAUUCACAUGCAGCUCUUGCUUUUGGUUCUUCUGAGACAUCUGAUGGGCCUUCCUCUGUUACACGAAUAAUAUCUGAAUGUGAAUCUGCAUUGACAGUCUUAAAUCGCGAUCUUGGAAUUCUCUCUGCUUCCAUUGCUCGUGAACAGGGAGAGAAGAUGAACAUUUGAUGAAACAUGAAAAACUGGUUACUAAUCCUUAUUCUUUUGAUUUUGCGAACUUGUGCAUAAUGUUCAUAUUGUUGACAUGACAUUGUUGCAUUAUCCAGACAUAUUUAGAAAUUGCAUGUAAGCCAGGCUUAGACUUGACCUUGUAAACAAAGAAGAGAAUACUUAAUACACAAAUCAUUAAAAAAA